UCCAAUAUCUAGAGAUGCCUCUCCUCUUU
rnacentral:piRNA from 1 species